rnacentral:rRNA from 1 species
UGGGGAAUAUUGGACAAUGGGGGGAACCCUGAUCCAGCCAUGCCGCGUGUGUGAAGAAGGCCUUAUGGUUGUAAAGCACUUUAAGCGAGGAGGAGGGUACUGGUAUUACUACUACCAGGUACUGGACGUUACUCGCAGAAUAAGCACCGGCUAACUCUGUGCCAGCAGCCGCGGUAAUACAGAGGGUGCGAGCGUUAAUCGGAUUUACUGGGCGUAAAGCGUGCGUAGGCGGCUAAUUGAGUCGGAUGUGAAAUCCCCGAGCUUAACUUGGGAAUUGCAUUCGAUACUGGUUAGCUAGAGUGUGGGAGAGGAUGGUAGAAUACCAGGUGUAGCGGUGAAAUGCGUAGAGAUCUGGAGGAAUACCGAUGGCGAAGGCAGCCAUCUGGCCUAACACUGACGCUGAGGUACGAAAGAAUGGGGAGCAAACAGG